rnacentral:rRNA from 1 species
CCUACGGGGGGCAGCAGUGAGGAAUAUUGGUCAAUGGACGAGAGUCUGAACCAGCCAAGUAGCGUGAAGGAUGACUGCCCUAUGGGUUGUAAACUUCUUUUGUCAGGGGACAAAAUCAGGCACGAGUGCCUGCCCGAGGGUACUUGAAGAAAAAGGCUCGGCUAACUCCGUGCCCGCCGCCGCGGUAAUACGGAGGAUGCGGGCGUUAUCCGGAUUUAUUGGGUUUAAAGGGUGCGUAGGCGGGCUGUUAAGUCAGCGGUAAAAGCGCGGGGCUCAACCCCGGCGAGCCGUUGAAACUGGCGGUCGUGAGAUGGCGAGAGGUAUGCGGAAGGCGGAGUGUAGCGGUGAAAUGCUUAGAUAUGGCGCAGAACUCCGAUUGCGAAGGCAGCAUACCGGCGGCGAACUGACGCUGAGGCACGAAAGCGUGGGUAUCGAACAGGAUUAGAUACCCUUGUAGUC